GACAAUAUACAUGUGAGUUUAAUAAAUGUUUUUAAAUUAAUUUAUUAAUUUAUUAAUUUUUGAAUAUCUUCAUUUAUUUUCAGGCUAAUGCUACAAGCAACGACCCCAAUCGUCCAUCAUCGAGUAAUGUUCCUGCUUCUUCUCAGUUGAACCAACUUAUUCCAUUAUCGAGAAAUUAUUGGGAAGAAGAUACUACUUUGAAUUCGACACCUCGACCAAAAGGUAAGACUUUAGAUAUUUCAAAUAUUGUUCAAAAAAAAAAUUGUAAAAC
rnacentral:lncRNA from 1 species